rnacentral:tRNA from 1 species
GGCGCCAUUGUCUAGUGGUUAGGACAUCAGGUUUUCAUCCUGGUAACAGGGGUUCGAUUCCCCUUGGCGCUACCA